UGCUCUGCCUACUGGUACGGCACACUGGUCACAUGACGUUUCACGCUGGUCACAUGACACUCUCACAACUUGCGAUUUGUCGACACUGUACGUAUACGCAUAGCGUUGGGUCGGUAAGUCAACGAAGUUGUCACAGCUAAGCAAGCUAUAAUCUUAGUCGGCAAUAGAAAUUUGUGUCUAUAAAUGAUUUUGUCAGUCAGUCAGUCAGGGAACAUGAUGAAAUAGUUGCGGUUGGAGCAGUUGCCUUCAUGAACUAAAUCUUCAUCACAAGAAAGAAGUCUUUUAUCGGUACAUAGAUAAUGAAAGCGGCCGGACAUAGUUGUUUUUGACUCUGGUGCUGGCUCCAGCAGUGACCUAACUCGUAAGUAACCCUAACCCUAACAGAAGGAGGUUCAGAGCUAAGCAUAUGCAUGUUAGGUUGGCAUUAGAGGACGUUCUAUCCUGACUGGGUCUUUUUAAAAUUAGGUAUGAUAUCAUACCUUGGAUGGAGGAAAGUCUAGUUUUUCAACGAUUCUGCCUCCUGUCUACCAAUUGUAUAAGAAGGUCAAUCAUCUUGUUUAUUUGAUGGGUAAUCAAGGAAGUAUCAUCAAGUCUCACAACAAUGGCCCUGUCUCCUCUGUUGCCAUGUACCCUAUGGUUGUAUAUAGCACAACAAGCUAGGUAGAAGAACCAGAAUAAGCAUCAGUCCUUAUUUCAACAUUUUAGAAAGAGGAGGAAAGGCAAAAAACAAUCAGAAGAGGUCGUGUAACUCUUCUAUCCUUUAGAAGACUGUAAGAGGACCAUACUUUACUCAUGCUGAAAGGAAUUUUUUGUGGUAAGCUGGUUAUUCUGUUCAAAGAGGGAAUUGAGUCGCAAAGUAUGAGGAACUAAUUCACAGUUCGGAAAUCAAUCAUCAAUGAGUGCUUCUUUAGAGGCUUCCUUAGAAGAAGUUGAAUUAGGACAAGAGGAAUGAUAUAUUUAUUGUCGAUUCUAUAUCUUCGUUAGGCGAGAAAGAGGUGACUACUUUAUAUUUGAAGAUUAGAGGUUGCUUUAUAUAUUGUCUGUAUAGCAUAUGGUAUUUUGCUUUGAGACCUGUUGCUGGUUUUUAAAGUAUGUUCUGUAUCUAUGUUGAAGAUGUAUUACAAUAAA